rnacentral:tRNA from 1 species
GACUCUAUAUCCUCAGUUGGUUAGAGCGCUACACCGGAAUUACAGGGCCGCAGCUUCGAUUCCUGCCAGAGCA